rnacentral:rRNA from 1 species
GUUAGGAAUAUUGGACAAUGGGCGAAAGCCUGAUCCAGCCAUGCCGCGUGAACGAUGAAGGCCUUCGGGUUGUAAAGUUCUUUAGCCGAUGAUUAUAAUGACUGUAGUCGGAAAAUAAGCCCCGGCUAACUUCGUGCCAGCAGCCGCGGUAAUACGAAGGGGGCGAGCGUUAUUCGGAAUCACUGGGCGUAAAGCGUGCGUAGGCGGUUUUGUAAGUUAGGAGUGAAAGCCCAGGGCUCAACCUUGGAAUUGCUCUUAAAACUGCAAGGCUCGAAUCUCGGAGAGGAUAGCGGAAUUGUCAGUGUAGCAGUGAAAUGCGUAGAUAUUGACAGGAACACCAGUGGCGUAAGCGGCUAUCUGGACCGAUAUUGACGCUGAGGCACGAAAGCGUGGGGAUCAAACAGGAUUAGAUACCCCUGUAGUCC